UCCGCAGUAGCUCAACGGUAGAGCGGCUCCCUGUUAAGGAGAAGGUUGUAGGUUCGAAUCCUACCUGCGGAGCUA
rnacentral:tRNA from 1 species